rnacentral:rRNA from 1 species
UACAGAGGUCUCAAGCGUUGUUCGGAUUCAUUGGGCGUAAAGGGUGCGUAGGUGGCGCCGUAAGUCAGGUGUGAAAUCCCGGGGCUCAACCCCGGAACUGCACUUGAUACUGCGGUGCUCGAGUACUGGAGAGGAGAUUGGAAUUUACGGUGUAGCAGUGAAAUGCGUAGAUAUCGUAAGGAAGACCAGAGGCGAAGGCGGGUCUCUGGACAGGUCCGGACACUGAGGCACGAAGGCCAGGGGAGCAAGCGGG